rnacentral:rRNA from 1 species
GACGAACGCUGGCGGCGUGCCUAACACAUGCAAGUCGUGCGGUCUCGCCUUAAGCGAAAAGGCCUUCGGGCUUUGAAGCAAAGGCGAGAUAGCGGCGGACGGGUGAGUAACGCGUGGCUUAUCUGUCCCAGGGAGGGGGAUAACGUCUGGAAACGGGCGCUAAUACCCCAUAUGCCGAAAGGUAAAAAGGAGAGAUCCGCCCUGGGGUGAGGCCGCGUCCUAUCAGCUCGUUGGUGAGGUAACGGCCCACCAAGGCUAUGACGGGUAGCCGGCCUGAGAGGGCGGCUGGCCACACUGGGAUUGAGAUACGGCCCAGACUCCUACGGGAGGCAGCAGUGGGGAAUAUUGGGCAAUGGGGGAAACCCUGACCCAGCGACGCCGCGUGGAGGAAGGAGCCCUUCGGGGUGUAAACUCCUGUUGUAAGGGAAGAAGACAGUGACGGUACCUUACGAGGAAGCCCCGGCAAACUACGUG